AAACGAGGCAAACCGGGGAAACUGAAACAUCUCAGUACCCCGAGGAAAAGAAAUCAACCGAGAUUCCCCCAGUAGCGGCGAGCGAACGGGGAGCAGCCCAGAGUCAACAUCAAUAUUUACCGCAGGAGAAGGGUCUGGAAAGGCCGGCAAUAAAGGGUGAUAGCCCCGUAUCUGAAGCGGUAAGUGUUGUGAACUCGAAGAGUAGGGCGGGACACGUGUUAUCCUGUCUGAAUAUGGGGGGACCCAUCCUCCAAGGCUAAAUACUCCUGACUGACCGAUAGUGAACCAGUACCGUGAGGGAAAGGCGAAAAGAACCCCGGCGAGGGGAGUGAAAUAGAACCUAAAACCGUGUACGUACAAGCAGUGGGAGCACCCGAAAGGGUGUGACUGCGUACCUUUUGUAUAAUGGGUCAGCGACUUAUAUUCUGUAGCAAGGUUAACCGCAUAGGGGAGCCGUAGGGAAACCGAGUCUUAACUGGGCGUUAAGUUGCAGGGUAUAGACCCGAAACCC
rnacentral:rRNA from 1 species